UGGGAACGUACCCUUUGGUUCGGAACAACCCAGGGAAACUUGGGCUAAUACCGGAUACGUCCGUAAGGAGAAAGAUUUAUCGCCAAGGGAUCGGCCCGCGUCUGAUUAGCUAGUUGGUGGGGUAAUGGCCCACUAAGGCUACGAUCAGUAGCUGGUCUGAGAGGAUGAUCAGCCGCAUUGGGACUGAGACACGGCCCAAACUCCUACGGGAGGCAG
rnacentral:rRNA from 1 species